rnacentral:rRNA from 1 species
AGAAUCAACGCUGGCGGCGUGCCUAACACAUGCAAGUCGAUCGAGAAAGUGGAGCAAUCCAUGAGUAAAGAGGCGCACGGGUGAGUAACACGUGACUAACCCUACCCUCGAGUGGGGAAUAACCUGGGGAAACCCGGGCUAAUACCGCAUAAUACCCACGGGUCAAAGGAGCAAUUCGCUUGAGGAGGGGUCGCGGCAGAUUAGUUAGUUGGCGGGGUAAUGGCCCACCAAGACGAUGAUCUGUA